rnacentral:rRNA from 1 species
AUUGAACGCUGGCGGCAUGCCUUACACAUGCAAGUCGAACGGCAGCGGACCUUCGGGUGCCGGCGAGUGGCGAACGGGUGAGUAAUAUAUCGGAACGUACCUUUCAGUGGGGGAUAACGUAGCGAAAGUUACGCUAAUACCGCAUAUUCUGUGAGCAGGAAAGCAGGGGAUCGCAAGACCUUGCGCUGAUUGAGCGGCCGAUAUCAGAUUAGCUAGUUGGUGAGGUAAAGGCUCACCAAGGCGACGAUCUGUAGCGGGUCUGAGAGGAUGAUCCGCCACACUGGAACUGAGACACGGUCCAGACCCCUACGGGAGGCAGCAGUGGGGAAUUUUGGACAAUGGGCGCAAGCCUGAUCCAGCCAUGCCGCGUGAGUGAAGAAGGCCUCGGUUGUAA